GUGGGGAAUCUUGCGCAAUGGGCGAAAGCCUGACGCAGCCAUGCCGCGUGAAUGAUGAAGGUCUUAGGAUUGUAAAAUUCUUUCACCGGGGACGAUAAUGACGGUACCCGGAGAAGAAGCCCCGGCUAACUUCGUGCCAGCAGCCUCGGUAAUACGAAGGGGGCUAGCGUUGCUCGGAAUUACUGGGCGUAAAGGGCGCGUAGGCGGACAGUUUAGUCAGAGGUGAAAGCCCAGGGCUCAACCUUGGAAUUGCCUUUGAUACUGGCUGUCUUGAGUACGGGAGAGGUGAGUGGAACUCCGAGUGUAGAGGUGAAAUUCGUAGAUAUUCGGAAGAACACCAGUGGCGAAGGCGACUCACUGGCCCGUUACUGACGCUGAGGCGCGAAAGCGUGGGGAGCAAACAGGAUUAGAUACCCCAGUAGUCC
rnacentral:rRNA from 1 species